GGUGAACGUUGGCGGUGCGUCUAAUACAUGCCAGUCGAGCGAGGCUUCGAGCCGAGCGGCAGACGGCUGAGUAACACGUUGGUAACUACCUCAAACUCAGGGAUAAAGCCGAGAAAUCGGUGCUAAUACCGGAUGGUCCCGUACGGGUAAAGUUUUUACGGUUUUUGAGGUGCCUGCGUCCUAUCAGGUAGUUUGUGAGGUAACGGCUCACCAAGCCUAUGACGGGUAACUGGUCUGAGAGGAUGACCAGGCAGAGGGAAACUGAGACACGGUUCCCACUUCUACGGAUGGCAGCAGGAAAGAAUCAUCCACAAUUGACGAAAGUCUGAUGGAGCGACACCGCGGGCAGGAUGAAAGCCCUUGGGGCGUAAACUGCUUUUUUGGGGGAAAAAUUCUGAGUGUACCCUAAGAAUAAGCACCGGCAAAUCACGUG
rnacentral:rRNA from 1 species